rnacentral:rRNA from 1 species
UAGUGGCGAACGGGUGAGUAACACGUGGGCAAUCUGCCCUUCACUCUGGGACAAGCCCUGGAAACGGGGUCUAAUACCGGAUAACACCGGCUUCCGCAUGGGGGCUGGUUAAAAGCUCCGGCGGUGAAGGAUGAGCCCGCGGCCUAUCAGCUUGUUGGUGGGGUAAUGGCCUACCAAGGCGACGACGGGUAGCCGGCCUGAGAGGGCGACCGGCCACACUGGGACUGAGACACGGCCCAGACUCCUACGGGAGGCAGCAGUGGGGAAUAUUGCACAAUGGGCGAAAGCCUGAUGCAGCGACGCCGCGUGAGGGAUGACGGCCUUCGGGUUGUAAACCUCUUUCAGCAGGGAAGAAGCGAAAGUGACGGUACCUGCAGAAGAAGCGCCGGCUAACUACGUGCCAGCAGCCGCGGUAAUACGUAGGGCGCAAGCGUUGUCCGGAAUUAUUGGGCGUAAAGAGCUCGUAGGCGGCUUGUCACGUCGGGUGUGAAAGCCCNGGGGCUUAACCCCGGGUCUGCAUCCGAUACGGNCAGGCUAGAGUGUGGUAGGGGAGAUCGGAAUUCCU